rnacentral:rRNA from 1 species
AUGAACGCUGGCGGCGUGGUUAACACAUGCAAGUCGAGCGGCAGCGCGGGGCAACCUGGCGGCGAGCGGCGGACGGGUGAGUAACGCGUAGGAAUCUACCCAGUAGCGGGGGAUAGCCCGGGGAAACUCGGAUUAAUACCGCAUACGCCCUAAGGGGGAAAGCAGGGGAUCUUCGGACCUUGCACUAUAGGCAGAGCCUGCGUUGGAUUAGCUAGUUGGUAGGGUAAAGGCCUACCAAGGCAACGAUCCAUAACUGGUCUGAGAGGAUGAUCAGUCACACCGGAACUGAGACACGGUCCGGACUCCUACGGGAGGCAGCAGGGGGAAUAUUGGACAAUGGGGGCAACCCUGAUCCAGCCAUGCCGCGUGUGUGAAGAAGGCCUUCGGGUUGUAAAGCACUUUAAGUGGGGAGAAAGGUUCGGCAGUUAAUACCUGCCGGAAGUGAUGUUACCCACAGAAUAAGCACCGGCUAACUCUGUGCCAGCAGCCGCAGUAA